UACGGAGGGUCCGAGCGUUAUCCGGAAUCAUUGGGUUUAAAGGGUCCGUAGGCGGGCGGCUAAGUCAGUGGUGAAAGUCUGUGGCUCAACCAUAGAAUUGCCAUUGAUACUGGUCGUCUUGAAUCAAUGUGAAGUGGUUAGAAUGAGUAGUGUAGCGGUGAAAUGCAUAGAUAUUACUCAGAAUACCGAUUGCGAAGGCAGAUCACUAACAUUGUAUUGACGCUGAGGGACGAAAGCGUGGGGAGCGAACAGG
rnacentral:rRNA from 1 species